UACGAAGGGGGCUAGCGUUGCUCGGAGUCACUGGGCGUAAAGGGUGCGUAGGCGGGUCUUUAAGUCAGGGGUGAAAUCCUGGAGCUCAACUCCAGAACUGCCUUUGAUACUGAAGAUCUUGAGUUCGGGAGAGGUGAGUGGAACUGCGAGUGUAGAGGUGAAAUUCGUAGAUAUUCGCAAGAACACCAGUGGCGAAGGCGGCUCACUGGCCCGAUACUGACGCUGAUGCACGAAAGCUAGGGGAGCAAACAGG
rnacentral:rRNA from 1 species